rnacentral:ncRNA from 1 species
AUAUGCUCCGAGCGGUACCGCCUAAGGGCUCUGCCUAUGGCGCUCCACCAGGGUCCGGCUGGAAACGGCCCGGCCUUCCGUCUUUGAAAAGGAGUCUCAUGGA